rnacentral:rRNA from 1 species
GGGUUGUGAGGUUAAGCGACUAAGCGUACACGGUGGAUGCCCUGGCAGUCAGAGGCGAUGAAGGACGUGCUAAUCUGCGAAAAGCGCCGGCGAGGUGAUAUGAACCUUUGACCCGGCGAUGUCCGAAUGGGGAAACCCAGUGUGUUCCGACACACUAUCGUUAACUGAAUACAUAGGUUAACGAGGCGAACCGGGGGAACUGAAACAUCUAAGUACCCCGAGGAAAAGAAAUCAACCGAGAUUCCCCCAGUAGCGGCGAGCGAACGGGGAGCAGCCCAGAGUCUGAAUCAGCUUGUGUGUUAGUGGAAGCGUCUGGAAAGUCGCACGGUACAGGGUGAAAGUCCCGUACACGAAAGCACACAGGCUGUGAACUCGAAGAGUAGGGCGGGACACGUGGUAUCCUGUCUGAAUAUGGGGGGACCAUCCUCCAAGGCUAAAUACUCCUGACUGACCGAUAGUGAACCAGUACCGUGAGGGAAAGGCGAAAAGAACCCCGGCGAGGGGAGUGAAAAAGAACCUGAAACCGUGUACGUACAAGCAGUGGGAGCCUCUUUUAUGGGGUGACUGCGUACCUUUUGUAUAAUGGGUCAGCGACUUAUAUUCUGUAGCAAGGUUAACCGUAUAGGGGAGCCGAAGGGAAACCGAGUCUUAACUGGGCGUUAAGUUGCAGGGUAUAGACCCGAAACCCGGUGAUCUAGCCAUGGGCAGGUUGAAGGUUGGGUAACACUAACUGGAGGACCGAACCGACUAAUGUUGAAAAAUUAGCGGAUGACUUGUGGCUGGGGGUGAAAGGCCAAUCAAACCGGGAGAUAGCUGGUUCUCCCCGAAAGCUAUUUAGGUAGCGCCUCGUGAACUCAUCUUCGGGGGUAGAGCACUGUUUCGGCUAGGGGGCCAUCCCGGCUUACCAACCCGAUGCAAACUACGAAUACCGAAGAAUGUUAUCACGGGAGACACACGGCGGGUGCUAACGUCCGUCGUGAAGAGGGAAACAACCCAGACCGCCAGCUAAGGUCCCAAAGUCAUGGUUAAGUGGGAAACGAUGUGGGAAGGCACAGACAGCCAGGAUGUUGGCUUAGAAGCAGCCAUCAUUUAAAGAAAGCGUAAUAGCUCACUGGUCGAGUCGGCCUGCGCGGAAGAUGUAACGGGGCUAAACCAUGCACCGAAGCUGCGGCAGCGACGCUUAUGCGUUGUUGGGUAGGGGAGCGUUCUGUAAGCCGUUGAAGGUGUCCUGUGAGGGGUGCUGGAGGUAUCAGAAGUGCGAAUGCUGACAUAAGUAACGAUAAAGCGGGUGAAAAGCCCGCUCGCCGGAAGACCAAGGGUUCCUGUCCAACGUUAAUCGGGGCAGGGUGAGUCGACCCCUAAGGCGAGGCCGAAAGGCGUAGUCGAUGGGAAACAGGUUAAUAUUCCUGUACUUGGUGUUACUGCGAAGGGGGGACGGAGAAGGCUAUGUUAGCCGGGCGACGGUUGUCCCGGUUUAAGCAUGUAGGCGGAGGUUCCAGGUAAAUCCGGUUCCUUGUUAACGCUGAGGUGUGAUGACGAGGCACUACGGUGCUGAAGUAACAAAUGCCCUGCUUCCAGGAAAAGCCUCUAAGCAUCAGGUAACAUCAAAUCGUACCCCAAACCGACACAGGUGGUCAGGUAGAGAAUACCAAGGCGCUUGAGAGAACUCGGGUGAAGGAACUAGGCAAAAUGGUGCCGUAACUUCGGGAGAAGGCACGCUGAUAUGUAGGUGAAGUCCCUGCGGAUGGAGCUGAAAUCAGUCGAAGAUACCAGCUGGCUGCAACUGUUUAUUAAAAACACAGCACUGUGCAAACACGAAAGUGGACGUAUACGGUGUGACGCCUGCCCGGUGCCGGAAGGUUAAUUGAUGGGGUUAGCGGUAACGCGAAGCUCUUGAUCGAAGCCCCGGUAAACGGCGGCCGUAACUAUAACGGUCCUAAGGUAGCGAAAUUCCUUGUCGGGUAAGUUCCGACCUGCACGAAUGGCGUAAUGAUGGCCAGGCUGUCUCCACCCGAGACUCAGUGAAAUUGAACUCGCUGUGAAGAUGCAGUGUACCCGCGGCAAGACGGAAAGACCCCGUGAACCUUUACUAUAGCUUGACACUGAACACUGGUCCUUGAUGUGUAGGAUAGGUGGGAGGCUUUGAAGCGUGGACGCCAGUCUGCGUGGAGCCAACCUUGAAAUACCACCCUUUAAUGGCUGGUGUUCUAACGUAGACCCGUGAUCCGGGUUGCGGACAGUGUCUGGUGGGUAGUUUGACUGGGGCGGUCUCCUCCCAAAGAGUAACGGAGGAGCACGAAGGUUAGCUAAUCCUGGUCGGACAUCAGGAGGUUAGUGCAAUGGCAUAAGCUAGCUUGACUGCGAGAGUGACGGCUCGAGCAGGUGCGAAAGCAGGUCAUAGUGAUCCGGUGGUUCUGAAUGGAAGGGCCAUCGCUCAACGGAUAAAAGGUACUCCGGGGAUAACAGGCUGAUACCGCCCAAGAGUUCAUAUCGACGGCGGUGUUUGGCACCUCGAUGUCGGCUCAUCACAUCCUGGGGCUGAAGUAGGUCCCAAGGGUAUGGCUGUUCGCCAUUUAAAGUGGUACGCGAGCUGGGUUUAGAACGUCGUGAGACAGUUCGGUCCCUAUCUGCCGUGGGCGCUGGAGAAUUGAGGGGGGCUGCUCCUAGUACGAGAGGACCGGAGUGGACGCAUCACUGGUGUUCGGGUUGUCAUGCCAAUGGCACUGCCCGGUAGCUAAAUGCGGAAGAGAUAAGUGCUGAAAGCAUCUAAGCACGAAACUUGCCCCGAGAUGAGUUCUCCCUGAGACUUUAAGUCUCCUGAAGGAACGUUGAAGACUACGACGUUGAUAGGUCGGGUGUGUAAGCGCAGCGAUGCGUUGAGCUAACCGAUACUAAUGAACCGUGAGGCUUAACCUUACAACGCCGAAG